GGAAGGUUGGCGGAGAGGUCUAUCGCACCGGACUUGAAAUCCGGCGUGUCGGCAACGGCACCGUGAGUUCGAAUCUCACACCUUCCGCCA
rnacentral:tRNA from 1 species